CGGCGCACGGGUGCGUAACGCGUAUAGAACCUACCUUAUAGUAAGGGAUAGCCCAGAGAAAUUUGGAUUAAUACCUUAUAGUAUCUUUUAGAUGCAUAUUUAAAUGAUUAAAGAUUUAUCGCUAUAAGAUGGCUAUGCGUUCUAUUAGCUAGUUGGUAUGGUAACGGCAUACCAAGGCUACGAUAGAUAGGGGUCCUGAGAGGGAGAUCCCCCACACUGGUACUGAGACACGGACCAGACUCCUACGGGAGGCAGCAGUGAGGAAUAUUGGACAAUGGAGGCAACUCUGAUCCAGCCAUGCCGCGUGUAGGAAGACUGCCCUAUGGGUUGUAAACUACUUUUAUAGAGGAAGAAACCGUUCCACGUGUGGAAUGCUGACGGUACUCUACGAAUAAGGAUCGGCUAACUCCGUGCCAGCAGCCGCGGUAAUACGGAGGAUCCAAGCGUUAUCCGGAAUCAUUGGGUUUAAAGGGUCCGUAGGCGGUUUAGUAAGUCAGUGGUGAAAGUUUUCGGCUCAACCGGAAAAUUGCCAUUGAUACU
rnacentral:rRNA from 1 species